rnacentral:rRNA from 1 species
GACGAACGCUGGCGGCGUGCUUAACACAUGCAAGUCGAACGGAAAGGCCCUGCUUUUGUGGGGUGCUCGAGUGGCGAACGGGUGAGUAACACGUGAGUAACCUGCCCUUGACUUUGGGAUAACUUCAGGAAACUGGGGCUAAUACCGGAUAGGAGCUCCUGCUGCAUGGUGGGGGUUGGAAAGUUUCGGCGGUUGGGGAUGGACUCGCGGCUUAUCAGCUUGUUGGUGGGGUAGUGGCGUACCAAGGCUUGGACGGGUAGCCGGCCUGAGAGGGUGACCGGCGACACUGGAACUGAGACACGGUCGAGACUCAUACGGGAGGCAGCAGUAGGGAAUCUGCCGCAAUGGGCGAAAGCCUGACGGAGCAACGCCGCGUGAGUGAUGAAGGUCUUCGGAUCGUAAAACUCUGUUAUGAGGGAAGAACAAAUGUGUAAGUAACUAUGCACGUCUUGACGGUACCUAAUCAGAAAGCCACGGCUAACUACGUG